rnacentral:tRNA from 4 species
GCACCCAUAGCUCAACUGGCAGAGCAGUGGCCUUUUAAGCCAACGGUUCCAGGUUCGAUUCCUGGUGGGUGCACCA